GAUGAAGAACGUAGCGAAAUGCGAUACGUAAUGUGAAUUGCAGAAUUCAGUGAAUCAUCGAAUCUUUGAACGCACCUUGCGCUCCUUGGUAUUCCGAGGAGCAUGCCUGUUUGAGUGUCAUUAAAUUCUCAACCAUUAUCAACUUUUGCUGAUAAUGGCUUGGAUGUGGGGGUCUAUUUUGCUGGCUUCUCAGAUAGUCAGCUCCCCUUAAAUGCAUUAGCCGGUGCCCCGCGUGGACUGUCUAUUGGUGUGAUAAUUAUCUACGCUAUAGACAUCUGCAAUCAUAUGGGUUUGCGCUGCUUCUAACAGUCUGUUGAUUCAGACAAUACAUGACAAUUUGACCUCAAAUCAGGUAGGACUACCCGCUGAACUUAAGCAUAUCAAUAAGCGGAGGA
rnacentral:misc_RNA from 1 species